UACAGAGGAGCCAAGCGUUGUCCGGAUUGACUGGGCGUAAAGCGCACGCAGGCGGAUGCGCGCGUGGGGUGUGAAAUCUGGCCGCUUAACGGCCAGGCGCCAUCCCAUACGGCGCGUCUGGAGUGAUGCAGAGGUCGAUGGAAUUGCCGGUGUAGUGGUGAAAUGCGCAGAUAUCAGGAGGAACACCGACGGCGAAGGCAGCACUCUGGGCCGGUACUGACGCUGAGGAGCGAAAGCAUGGGGAGCGAACAGG
rnacentral:rRNA from 1 species